AUUAUUAUCAAUUUGGCGGACUAUUCCAGUGACACCACUUGCGAUUUAUCAACAGUCAAGCGACUUGAUUGAACCAGACAUGAACAUUAUAACAUGCUUUACAUGUGAAGAAUACAUAAUUGAGUUUAAAUCAAGGAGAUUUCGCUAAAUUUUGUAUGGCUGUUUUCUUCACCUUCGUCGAUCUUAAGUUUCUUGUUCAGCAGAGUUUUAGCUUAACACUGUAGCCGCUAAGACCUACGCUUGCAAAGGGAUUGUCAGUGCUGUUAUUGAAUCAAAAGAUGACUGAAAGCAAAGCAUGGGAAAAGGGUCUUGUGAUGGAACUUUUCAAAUCAGAUAAUUUCUCGGAACAGGUUGACAACAGAGUUACAGUAAUGGCUGGUUUGUCAAAUAAGUUAAAUACUUUAGUUAUCUGCCAUAUGGAGUGGAAUCAAUGUGCAGAUGACCCAGCUUUUAUUUUCCGUUAUUUUUAAGAAUUUUACAUGGUAUAAAGACCAUAUCUCCUUCACACCUUCACCAGGGUUCAAAAUUAGCUUCACAAGAUGAGUUCCAAGUGACCACUAAAUAUUAUUUUUUCCAGUCUCUGAAAUUUAAAUAUAGAGGUUUCAAUGUAUUCCUACUUGUGAAUAGUAACCGGUAGAGUCUGGGGUCUAGAUUGCAAUAGACAUGAGUACCAGUGCGACUUAAAUUUUCUUGCUGGCAACUAAAAUUUCUUCUUCAGUCUCCACACCUUGAGUGGAAACAUAUCAUACCCUUACCUUUUUGAGUCCCAAAGAGGAGCCAAACCUCAGAGCUUUGAAUAUUUGUAGUUAGGGGCUAUACAAACCCUUACUUCAAGGAACUCAAUGGUGAAACACAAAAUCAUAGGUCACAUACUAUUACCCAAUGUGAUGAUUACAAUCAACACCUGUUUAUAUAAAAGGCUGUGAAGAUACCUUUUGAUUUCUCCUGUGAGUCAAAAAGUUAAAGGAUGGGAGGAAAGAGAGGUUCCCACCCAAGCCUUCGAGACCUUUUUUUUGCUAACUGUAAAUAGUUUAGAUACUAUUAAGAGCUUUGUUUUUCCUCACCAAAACCAACAUUUUCUACUUGCCAAAACUGAUAAGCAUUAUUUAGGAUUUUUAAUAACCACUGACUGUAAACAAAGGGAAUCCAUUUACAAUUGCAAAAUUUUGUCAUUCACUUUAUUUUCCCAAAGGACCCAUUUGAUGAACCUUGUUAUAAAAUGAAAAAAGUCAAACUAAGCUUAGACAGCCAUUCCCUCUCCCAAAAUAAUGUAUUGCCAACUGUUGAACUGCUCCUAUGCAAGUGGUCAUGGCCAAUCUUUCAGCUUCACCAGGAACUCUUUUCAAUCUGGAUGCACUGCUUUUGUUGGGUCAAGAAAGAAAAUUUAAGGAAUAAAAAUUCAAGGAUAAAGCCUUAAGAUGAUGUAUAUUGUGAUUUGUUAGUAAUUAUAUAUAUUAGACCUUGUUAUAGGCCCUUUCCCUAGGGUCCCAUAGAAAAAUAGAAUGAAUGAAAAAAUUUUUGCAACUGUGGAUGAAUUCUUGAUAUUUAGGGUCAGUAGCUUUUGAUCACCUUUUUUGUUUAAUAAAUUGGGUUACUUGUCCCCUUUUGAUUUGUUUGGUCAUUUUUGUAAGUUCUCAAAGGUUACCAAAUCUAACUUAAUUAUUACAGAUUCUAGAGGACACAAAAUGUCUCAUCAAGCAUUCCUGCCAAAAGAUGAUUGACAAUGCCAACCAUGAAGAAUUUAAAUUAUUUCUAAAAUAUCUUGGAGAUGUAAAGUGUUAGACACUGAAAACAAACUGGCUUCUGUAUGUUAUUACUUGAUUUGAUUAUUAUUGUCAUUAAUAUUAUUAUUGUUUUGAGGUUGUAUCUUUCAAACAGAUAAUGUUGCAUUUGCUGUAUACUUAAAGGCACUACAGUGUUUCACUCUCUAUGAAGUCUUUAGAUUGUUUGUAAUAGAGACCUUAAGCAAACCACCAUGGCAACAGCAACAAAAGCAUGGCCAGACAAAGGAUUCAAUGGGCACACAAAUAGCUCAGUAUGUACAUUUUCAAAUUUUAUUUAUUUCUUAUCUAUUCUCUAAAACAAAACCACAUAAAUCACCAAAACUUGUGUGGGCUAAGAACAGAACCUCUGAUGGCAAAUUAUUUACCUCUCAUUGUUUAGAACUUGAUCCUGCUCUCUUUUGUUAUGACAAAGAUGAUGUCUUGCUCUGUUAGAGAGGGUAAUCACAUCCACCAUCCAUUUAGUGGACAUUUUUGUCAGCUUGCCAUCCUGAUUUCUGAAGAUCCCUAAAGAUUUCUGUGAUUCACUCUCCACUUAGCUGGCUUUUUAUCUAAUCAACAUUAGUUGAAGACUGAAGAACACACCCUUUUAAAUUUAAUUUUUUAAAAAACCCUUUUUUAUUUUGUUUUUAUUUGUGGGAAUUUAAGAAGUAGGUUUUACAUUAGUUUUGAAAGACCAAAUAUAUAUUUCACACUCAGGCAACCCACAAUUUAUACUCUCUUAGUAGGGAAGGAAAUUUGUGAAGCACCUCUGAUAUUAAAUUUUUCUUUCUGUGAAGUCCUCACCACAAAUUAAUGUGUAUUUUUUAGAUGGAAAAAAUCCACUCUGAAAUAUAUUUCUGAUUAAUUUUUAUUUCAAAUUAUCAAGUUUUCUUACUGUUACAACAAUCUUCAUGUAAAGCCAGAUUAAUUUCUUCUACCUAGGAGGGACGUUGAUGUUUUUAACUAGUUUGUGAUACAGACUUCUUUUGUUGUGUCUGUGAAAGGUUGCUUCUCUUAUCCUUUUGGUACUAUUUUCAUGGCUGGUUUCACAAA